rnacentral:rRNA from 1 species
UACGUAGGGUGCAAGCGUUGUCCGGAAUUAUUGGGCGUAAAGCGCGCGUAGGCGGCUUUGCAAGUCGGGUGUGAAAUCCCCAGGCUUAACCUGGGAACUGCAUUCGAGACUGCAUUGCUAGAGUAUGGGAGAGGGAAGUGGAAUUUCAGGUGUAGCGGUGAAAUGCGUAGAUAUCUGAAGGAACAUCAGUGGCGAAAGCGACUUCCUGGACCAAUACUGACGCUCAUGUGCGAAAGCGUGGGGAGCAAACAGG